rnacentral:rRNA from 1 species
AUGCAUAUUACAUUCAUUGUAUGGCGCAUCAGCUUCAAUUGGCCCUUGUUGCAGCAUCACGAGAGGUACAUGAAGUGCAUAAUUUUUUUUCAAUAUGCCAAUUUUGUCAUAAAUGUUGUUAGUGCUUCACCUAAACGCAAUGAUGAGUUACUAGCAAAUCAAGCCACCGAAAUUGCACGUGAAAUUGAACUGGGGGAUCUUGAUACGGGAAAAGGGGCAAACCAGAUAGGUUCUUUACAGAGACCAGCAGACACUAGAUGGAGUUCGCACUUCAAGUCAAUUCGGAGCUUGAGGAAGAUGUUUGGUGCCACAAUUACAGUCCUACGAAGUAUAGCGAAUGAUCGUCCGGUGACACAAUAUUCCCGUGGAGAUGCUGGAGGCGCCCUAAGGAUAAUUGUUUCUUUUGAUUUUGUGUUCAUUUUGCACCUCAUGGAGAGGAUUAUGAAAAUCACAGAUGUCUUGUGCCAAACACUCCAGAAGAAAUCUAUGGACAUUUUGAAUGCAUUAGAUACACUCUCUAACACUAAGGUGCUCCUCGCUGAUCUAAGAGAGGAAGGAUGGGAACCUCUCAUAGAGGAGGUUAAGACCUUUUGUGUGAAGCAUGAAGUUGAGAUCCCCGAUAUGAGUCGCAAGUAUGUUGAUGUGACUAAGUCUCGGAAUAAACAUAAUAACAUCACGGUGCUUCACCACUACAAAGCAGAUGUGUUCAAUGUGGCGAUAGAUCAACAACUGGUUGAGCUAAAUGACCGUUUUAGCGUUCAGACAACAGAGCUAAUGACACUCUGUGCAUCCUUGGAUCCAAGGCAUGACUCGUUUGACAUAUCAAAGAUUUGCAUGCUUGUGGACAAAUUCUAUCCAGCGGAUUUUUCUAGUCAAGAGCAGGCUCGUCUGGAGUCACAACUUCCACACUAUCAGUUAGAUGUUUGCAACCAUCCAAAGCUGAAUUCUUCGUCAUCACUGGCUGAUUUGACCGUUGCAUUGCAUAAAACAGGUAAAGCCUCUGUGUAUCCAAUGGUUGAUAGAUUAUUGCGCUUGGUCAUCACUCUCCCGGUGUCAACUGCAACUGCGGAGAAAGCUUUUUCAGCAAUGAAGAUUAUCAAGACACGUCUCCGAAGUAAAAUGGGUGACGAUUUUCUUCGACCUUACAUGGUUGUAUACAUUGGAAAGGAAAUAGCUGCAAAGUUCAAUGUUAAUGAGAUUAUUGAUUUGUUUGAUCGACCGGCUCGGGGGCGUAGAUCUGCAUUCAAACUAGUAGAAAUGUAG